rnacentral:ribozyme from 14 species
UGGAAAAAGAGGACAUAUAGUAUGUCUCGUUACUUGACCCUUUUCUUUCCUUUUAAUUAUUGUAUUAUUUGUCGCCUCUCUCUCUCUC